UACGAAGGUGGCGAAUGUUGCUCGGAUUCAUUGGGCGUAAAGAGCUCGUAGGCGGUUUGUCGCGUCUGCUGUGAAAACCCGAGGCUCAACCUCGGGCCUGCAGUGGGUACGGGCAGACUAGAGUGCGGUAGGGGAGAUUGGAAUUCCUGGUGUAGCGGUGGAAUGCGCAGAUAUCAGGAGGAACACCGAUGGCGAAGGCAGAUCUCUGGGCCGUAACUGACGCUGAGGAGCGAAAGCAUGGGGAGCGAACAGG
rnacentral:rRNA from 1 species